AUGGAUUUGGUACUCACUGGACCAUGUGGGAUACUACAGGCUUACGGUGCCUUUUGCUUGGAGGUUUCCACAGAAGACCUGGUUUUCACAGAAGACGAUGAGGGGUCUUCUACUGAUGAUGAGGGGUCUUGGGGCGGUCAUUUCCGCCGAGGCUGGGAUGUUACUGAGCAUGAUGAAGUUGAUGAAUUCACACAAACCAUCUAUGGAGGCCUUGGCCGCAAGUUGGAGAUCACAUACUUGGUGAUUCCGGAAGCAGUUGAGACCUAUGUUGAGGUCAGGUUGAACCUCAAAGACUUCGGUUCGAGAAGCCGCUCUGUGUAUGGUAGCGUCAAGGCAAUUGCCAUUGACUAUGGGAGCAAAAGCGUCAAUCUCUUCGGUUUUGAACGAGGCAGUAGCUUGUCCCUGCCCUGUGGUUCCACGUGCAUUCUUCCACUGGGACCACACAUGAUUGCAUUGCCUGAUCGUAGCAAGUACAAACUCCACAUAGAGGUGGACCUAAGAGUAAUCACAACCUGUGACAGCCAAGAAGAGGACAAUAAUUUGAAAUUCUGUCUAGACUGCAGCCGUAGAAUUAGGAGUGAAGAACGUCUAGAGUUACCCCGUAGAAUUAGGACUCAAAAAGAGAAUUCGAUGGUGAUCAAGUUGAAGUGA
rnacentral:rRNA from 1 species